GGGCGUAUAGCUCAGCUGGUUAGAGCGCACGCCUGAUAAGCGUGAGGUCGAUGGUUCGAGUCCAUCUAUGCCCACCA
rnacentral:tRNA from 1 species